UACAGAGGGGGCAAGCGUUGUUCGGAAUUACUGGGCGUAAAGGGCGCGUAGGCGGCCCGCUAAGUCGAACGUGAAAUCCCCGAGCUCAACUCGGGAACUGCGUCCGAUACUGGAUGGCUUGAAUCCGGGAGAGGGAUGCAGAAUUCCAGGUGUAGCGGUGAAAUGCGUAGAUAUCUGGAGGAAUACCGGUGGCGAAGGCGGCAUCCUGGACCGGCAUUGACGCUGAGGAGCGAAAGCUAGGGGAGCAAACGGG
rnacentral:rRNA from 1 species